rnacentral:rRNA from 1 species
ACGCUCGACACCUACGAGAGGCAGCAGUAGGGAAUCUUCCACAAUGGGCGCAAGCCUGAUGGAGCAACACCGCGUGAGUGAAGAAGGGUUUCGGCUCGUAAAGCUCUGUUGUUGGAGAAGAACGUGCGUGAGAGUAACUGUUCACGCAGUGACGGUAUCCAACCAGAAAGUCACGGCUAACUACGUGCCAGUAGCCGCGGUAAUCUGAGCGGGCUGGCAAGGC